AUAGUAGAAAGCUGACGAGAAUGAUUAAAAAUAAUAGAAUCCAAGUCAGAUCAAUCAUGCCUCAUGCCAUACAGCUUUUUCUUUUUCUCUCUCUUUUUCCUUUUCCUUUUUCAGUGUAAAUUU
rnacentral:ribozyme from 14 species